UACGAAGGGGGCUAGCGUUGUUCGGAAUCACUGGGCGCAAAGCGCACGUAGGCGGAUUUUUAAGUCAGGGGUGAAAUCCCGAGGCUCAACCUCGGAACUGCCUUUGAUACUGAGGAUCUGGAGUCCGGGAGAGGUGAGCGGAACUGCGAGUGUAGAGGUGAAAUUCGUAGAUAUUCGCAAGAACACCAGUGGCGAAGGCGGCUCACUGGCCCGGAACUGACGCUGAGGUGCGAAAGCGUGGGGAGCAAACAGG
rnacentral:rRNA from 1 species